CCUGACUGACCGAUAGUGAACCAGUACCGUGAGGGAAAGGCGAAAAGAACCCCGGCGAGGGGAGUGAAAAAGAACCUGAAACCGUGUACGUACAAGCAGUGGGAGCCUCUUAAUGGGGUGACUGCGUACCUUUUGUAUAAUGGGUCAGCGACUUAUAUUCUGUAGCAAGGUUAACCGAAUAGGGGAGCCGAAGGGAAACCGAGUCUUAACUGGGCGUUAAGUUGCAGGGUAUAGACCCGAAACCCGGUGAUCUAGCCAUGGGCAGGUUGAAGGUUGGGUAACACUAACUGGAGGACCGAACCGACUAAUGUUGAAAAAUUAGCGGAUGACUUGUGGCUGGGGGUGAAAGGCCAAUCAAACCGGGAGAUAGCUGGUUCUCCCCGAAAGCUAUUUAGGUAGCGCCUCGUGAAUUCAUCUCCGGGGGUAGAGCACUGUUUCGGCAAGGGGGUCAUCCCGACUUACCAACCCGAUGCAAACUGCGAAUACCGGAGAAUGUUAUCACGGGAGACACACGGCGGGUGCUAACGUCCGUCGUGAAGAGGGAAACAACCCAGACCGCCAGCUAAGGUCCCAAAGUCAUGGUUAAGUGGGAAACGAUGUGGGAAGGCCCAGACAGCCAGGAUGUUGGCUUAGAAGCAGCCAUCAUUUAAAGAAAGCGUAAUAGCUCACUGGUCGAGUCGGCCUGCGCGGAAGAUGUAACGGGGCUAAACCAUGCACCGAAGCUGCGGCAGCGACGCUUAUGCGUUGUUGGGUAGGGGAGCGUUCUGUAAGCCUGUGAAGGUGGCCUGUGAGGGUUGCUGGAGGUAUCAGAAGUGCGAAUGCUGACAUAAGUAACGAUAAAGCGGGUGAAAAGCCCGCUCGCCGGAAGACCAAGGGUUCCUGUCCAACGUUAAUCGGGGCAGGGUGAGUCGACCCCUAAGGCGAGGCCGAAAGGCGUAGUCGAUGGGAAACAGGUUAAUAUUCCUGUACUUGGUGUUACUGCGAAGGGGGGACGGAGAAGGCUAUGUUGGCCGGGCGACGGUUGUCCCGGUUUAAGCGUGUAGGCUGGUUUUCCAGGCAAAUCCGGAAAAUCAAGGCUGAGGCGUGAUGACGAGGCACUACGGUGCUGAAGCGACAAAUGCCCUGCUUCCAGGAAAAGCCUCUAAGCAUCAGGUAACAU
rnacentral:rRNA from 1 species